GCCUGGUGUGGGGGCGCACGCCUGUAAUCCCAGUGACCAGGGAGGCUCAGGCAGGAGGAUUGCAAGUUCAAGGCCAGACCUGGCAACCUCGCAAGAGCAUCCCUGGGU
rnacentral:sRNA from 1 species